GGUAUUUAAAAGGUAGAUUUUCCUUUUAUGGUUACGUUUUGAUGGUUAAUCAUAGAGGAAAAUCCACGUUUUCAGUACC
rnacentral:pre_miRNA from 1 species